UACGUAGGGGGGCUAGCGUUGUCCGGAUUUAUUGGGCGUAAAGCGUAGGUAGGCGGUCUGGUUAGUCGGAUGUCAAAGCUCGGGGCUCAACCUCGAACAGGCAUUCGAAACGGCCAGACUUGAGAGUGUGAGAGAUCAGUGGAAUUCAUGGUGUAGUAGUGAAAUGCGUUGAUAUCAUGAGGAACACCCAAGGCGAAGGCAACUGAUUGGCACAUUUCUGACGCUCAGCUACGAAAGCGUGGGUAGCGAAUGGG
rnacentral:rRNA from 1 species